CCUGCCCCUAGAGGCACUGCUGGUGUGGCUGCUGUGUCACAUGGGUGUCAGUAGGUGGCAGAGAAGAGAGAGGCUAUGUCUAUGCUCAGUGUUCUGAUCUAUGAACUUGAAGGAUUACUAGCCUAACACG
ensembl:snoRNA Gm24230 small nucleolar RNA SNORA17